rnacentral:rRNA from 1 species
CAACCUGCCCACCACUUGGGGAUAACCUUGCGGAAGUAAGACUAAUACCCAAUGAUAUCUCUAGAAGACAUCUGAAAGAGAUUAAAGAUUUAUCGGUGAUGGAUGGGGAUGCGUCUGAUUAGCUUGUUGGCGGGGUAACGGCCCACCAAGGCGACGAUCAGUAGGGGUUCUGAGAGGAAGGUCCCCCACAUUGGAACUGAGACACGGUCCAAACUCCUACGGGAGGCAGCAGUGAGGAAUAUUGGUCAAUGGACGAGAGUCUGAACCAGCCAAGUAGCGUGCAGGAUGACGGCCCUAUGGGUUGUAAACUGCUUUUAUAAGGGAAUAAAGUGAGUCUCGUGAGACUUUUUGCAUGUACCUUAUGAAUAAGGACCGGCUAAUUCCGUGCCAGCAGCCGCGGUAAUACGGAAGGUCCGGGCGUUAUCCGGAUUUAUUGGGUUUAAAGGGAGCGUAGGCCGGAGAUUAAGCGUGUUGUGAAAUGUAGAUGCUCAACAUCUGCACUGCAGCGCGAACUGGUUUCCUUGAGUACGCACAAAGUGGGCGGAAUUCGUGGUGUAGCGGUGAAAUGCUUAGAUAUCACGAAGAACUCCGAUUG